GACGACGCUGGCGGCGUGCCUAAUACAUGCAAGUAGAACGAGUUGCGAACGGGUGAGUAACGCGUGGUAACCUGCCUGAUGGAGGGGGAUAACUACUGGAAACGGUAGCUAAUACCGCAUCCCAUCAGAUGUGCCCAGAUGGGAUUAGCUAGUAGGUGGGGUAAUGGCUCACCUCGGCGACGCUCCCUAGAUGGUCUGAUAGGAUGACCAGCGCCACUGGAACUGAAACACGGUCCAGAUUCCUACGGGAGGCAGCAGGGGGGAAUAUUGCACAAUGGGCGCAAGCCUGAUGAAGCCAUGCCGCGUGUGUGAAGAAGGCCUGCGGGUUGUAAAGCACUUUCAUCGAGGAGGCGUGACUCGCAGAAGAAGCACCGGAUAACUCCGGGCCAGCAGCCGCGGUAAUAC
rnacentral:rRNA from 1 species